CCUUUGUUGUUAAAACUACCUUGUUGCUUUGGCGGGACCGCUCGGUCUCGAGCCGCUGGGGAUUCGUCCCAGGCGAGCGCCCGCCAGAGUUAAACCAAACUCUUGUUAUUUAACCGGUCGUCUGAGUUAAAAUUUUGAAUAAAUCAAAACUUUCAACAACGGAUCUCUUGGUUCUCGCAUCGAUGAAGAACGCAGCGA
rnacentral:misc_RNA from 1 species